AGCAGGAGAGUAGGAUGAGAGAAGUCAAAGAGGCAGAGAUGAGUCAAGCUGGUGAAGAGGUACGAGUAUAUCUCCCUUUCUGCUUUGAUAAGCUCCCUCCCCCUUGUCUCCCAGAACCAGAAGAGGUAUGAAGAGGGUGGUGGAGAGAUUGGCUUCAUGUAGUCAUCAUCUCCGAUUGCUUAGGGAAAACCAUAGAGAGGAGGUGACUUAGACAGCUGUGGGAAGGUGAGGCCUUUCAGUCUUGGCAACUGAUCCAUGUGGCAAGACCUACUGGGCAUGAGCUGCUGUCCUCAUUAGGCCUGACACUCCAUCAAGUCUGUGUAGACCAUGUUCUUUCUAAUAAAGAGUUAACUCCAACUUGCACGGUGUGAUUUACUGCCGACUCGCUUCUGACACAUAGGUAGGACUGAAUCCGACUCAAGGUCCAGGCUCAUGAGAGUUGUGGGAUCAAUUUGACUAAAGGUUAUUUUACUUUAUUUCUGUAGAAGAUUUAACUUUAUGUAGAAGAUUUAACCAAAGAGCUCUCUAAGGGGUAUACAAGUAAGACUGUAUAGAAAACACAAAACAGAUAAAAACAGAUAUACACAAAACCACCAUCAUUGAAACACAAAUGCAAUCAGCAAAACUUUAAAAACAAAUAUAGGUGACUAAAUAUGAUGGAAUAGGUUUGCCAAAACAAAAUAAAAGUUUCCAACAAGUGAGGGCACCUCAAUAGGCAAGGGAGCUCCAAAGUUGAGGGGCUGCCACAGUAAAGAACUGACUCCCUGAAAAUGUGGAGUGGACAUUUUGAAGCAGUUGUAAAUUUGGACAAUUGAAGCAGUCAAAUAGGCUUAUAUGGGGUAGGGCACUCACAUCAAUUUCUUGCAAGCCUCUCACUCAUGGAAUGGUGUGGUGCUGUUAAAGCAGAAAACAGACUCUUACCUUUCUCCUGGCGCCUUCCACACAUAGCCUGAGGCCUUGUUUUAGUUUUGUUGCUGCAUUUACUCCAACACUGUGUACAGAUCGUCCUAUUGUUGCUGUUUGAAUAGGCUAUUUGCCUCUCGGUUUCCUUUUACUGUGAAUUGCUUUGAUGUGAUUUCAUCAGAAUGCGCCUCGAGAGCUAUUAUGACUGAAAGGCAUUAUAUAAUUACUAUUCACGAGUUGGCUAGUGAAUAGUGAGCAAAUGACCUUCAGGGGCUGCUGCUCCUCUCUUUCCAUCUCUCCCUUGGGAAAUAUUUCCCAUGUGCUCACCCUUUAAAGGGAGUGAAGUCUUAUAUUCGUUUAGCUGUUUUUCUCCUCCAGCGCUCCAAAUCUCUUUCAAGGAAGCCUCUCUGAAAAGCAUGAAAUACAGCUCUGGGAGCCCAUACAUUUCCUUCCUCAGGGUUAAAUCAAGUUUUCAGUUAUUUCACAGCCAUUGGACAUAUUUAUGUAGCUCAGGCCAGAGGGGGACUUAGAGCACUUUCACUGAGAGUUGGGAUAUGCAGGUCCCAGUUCAGAUUUUUUGGGGGGCUGGGAGGAGGGGCAGGACCUGCUAUUUGACUGCUGUGCAUUGACUCCCUUCAAGUUACUUUGCAUAGGUGUGAGUGAGGAAUCAGCCUCAGAGGAGUGAAUAUAGUAGCCAUUAUAUUUCCCAGUUUCUGCUUCCCUACUGAUCCUCUGUGGAUAGUACCAGCUAUCAAUUACCUCGUAAAUUGGAGCAGGAUGUAGGCACAGCACCUUAUCUUUCCAUACUGCAUACAGCCUUCUUGCUAGGCAUACAUGAGCCCACCUGGAAGAGAUCCAUUAUUAUUAUCAGCUGUCCUUGCUUUGCCCUUCAUGGAAAGCCCCUGCUGCCUCUCACUUUCCUGAACAUUUCUCUUUUCUUUAAGAAUAAUUUUUUAUUAACCGACCAAUCACAUCAAAUCAAACCAAAUUACAUAAAUUCCAAAUUACACAGCCGAAUUUUAAGCUGAAUGGGGCUGAAUGGGGGGGGGUUCUUGUAAAUCACAUAGAAGGAAAGUAAAAAAGGUUUCCCCCCCCAUUCAGCCCCGUUGUCAACAUACCCCGCCUUUGGUGUAUCUUCAUCGUAAAAUAUUCCUGUUUCUCCAGCCCGUCGUCUUCUUUCGCAGAGGUCACUUAAAUUAGCAGACUUCACUCCCCUUCUUCACUUGAAAUAUGUGCAUUUGCUUCUUUUGUAAUUAAUUAUUCCAAAUUGCUGCAACUAGUGCGUGAUCAGAGACAGCGUCCAGGAGAGCCGAGGUCCACACGGGUGCAUUCUGCCUAGGGCCCUCACCCCCUUCUUUCGAAUUAGGGGGUGAUUUAUGGGCACAGCAGGCAAGGGCAGUGUUCCCCAUUUCCUUGGGGCAACAAGGAAGGCUGCCUACUCCCAUAACAGCCUCUUAAUUACCCCGUGUGGGUCGGAGAGAUGGUAUUGUCGGCCAUCUUCCAAUGCGCCCCCUAGUGGCCCCCCGCUUUCCUGAACAUUUCUGCCUGAAUGGAUUUAUUUUCUUCGUAUUAAUACAAGGUUGUGUGUGUGUGUGUGUGUGUGUGUGUGUGUGUGUGUGUGUGUGUGUGUGUGAGAGAGAGAGAGAGAGAGAGAGAAAGAGAGUUUGAACUCUCUUCAUUUGUGGUAUUUUUGUACCCUAUAAUGUCCAAACAUACAAUGAAUUUCUCAUACAGUGCAUUAUUCCUGUUACACUGAUGACAGCCAGACCAUUGUUAUUUCGGUCGGAGCAAAGCCAUUUGUGAUAUUGCAGGCUUUUUCUUCUGUUAUCUGCAACUGCUUUCCCCCCUUGGUUUUCCUCUUUGCCCUCAUAGAAUCUGCUUUGGGGGCUUGGGGUGUCUCAAAUAAUGUAUGGGAGGCUGGUGUGGCCUCUAGCAAGUAUCUCUUGAUGAUAGCAGCAGCAACAACACAUAUUUUUAUACCCCACCCAUCUGGCUGGGUUUCCCCAGCCACUCUGGACAGCUCCCAACAAAAUAUUAAAAACAUGAUAAAACAUCAAACAUUAAAAACUUACCUAAACAGGGCUGCCUUCAGAUAGUUGCUUAUUUCCUUAACAUCUGAUGGGACGGUGUUCCACAGGAUGGGACAGUCUGCAAGCAGGUAGGGUCUCAGCCCACGUACCAGAUGGAGCUGGUAGACACAGAAUUGACCUGCGCCUCUAUGGACAGCUGUGAGUCGAAAAUGAUUCCCAGGCUGCACACUUGGUCCUUCAGGGGCACAGUUACCCCAUUCAGGACCAGGGAGUCCUCCACACCUACCCGGCCCCUGUCCCCCCCCAAACAGUACUUCUGUCUUGUCAGGAUUCAACCUCAAUCUGUUAGCUCCCAUCCAUCCUCCAACCGCCUCCAGAUACCAACACAGGACAUACAUAAAGGAAAGGCAAAGCCAAAUAGAAUAAUUACAUUGAACAUACUCAUUUCACAGCUACAAACUUUAAAAUGGAGCCUUUAAUUGAGCUAGGCUCCCUUUAGUUGUGAGUAAGUGGAUGGAUAUCAUAUGAGUAGGGUUGAUUCCAGCUCAUGCCAUGAAAGAGGAAGACAACAUGUUUCUGCAAACAAUUAAAAGUGCAGUUGAUGAACGUCUAAGUUUCAAUUCAGGGCUAGGAGACAGGUGCCUAUGCUGUCUUCAGUUGUUCAUGCAGAAACUGAGCACAAUCUGAUUAGUGGUUAACAACCUUUAUUACCCAUGAGGCCUGGAAGCCUGCAUAGAGGAGUAACUAAACUCAACAGCCAGGCCACAUCUCUGAGUCAACUCUCUAGGAGAUGGCCUCCUGGGCCACAGCUGUUUCUCUUAAAGGUGUCAUGUGCCAGAUACUUAAGUGAUAAUGUGUACAUUACAGUGCCCUCCAUAUGUUGUGGGACUUCAACUCCCAUCAGCUCCUGCCAACGUUGAGAGUUGCAGUCCAGCCAUAUCUAGAGAGCAUCAUCUUGACUACCCCGCCCUAAAAAGGUUUAAGACCAGAGUAUCUGGAAGAUUGCCAUCUCCUGUAUGAGCCUGCCCACCUACAGAGAGGAGACAACCUUUUCUGUGGCUCUCCUAAGGCUCUAGAACUCCCUACUCCUCUUUAAAAAUCUUCCUUUUAAGAAGGCUUUGCCCUUCUUUUGCUACAGUCUUCAACAGCGAUGGCUGUGUCCAUGUCCUGGAAGGUUACUUGGGACAAGUUUUGUAAGUUAACGAAAAUAAACUGCAAUGUCAGCAGAAACUGACGGAUCAAAGAUGCAUGGGUAAAACAAUCAGUUCAUGGCAACUUGAUAACAUACUUUUAAAGGGGUUGUAGAAUGCUCUUCCCAGGGAAAUGUGCCUGGCACCGUCAUGGUUGGUUGUUAGGUGCCAGGCAAAGGCAUCUUUAUUUAGCUGGCCCUUUGGUAGUUAAGUCAGGUUCUACUGUGCUACUCAUUUCUUUGUGGAUUAAACCAUCUUAGCUGUGAAUCUUGGAAGACCUCCUCCCUGUCUUGUUGGCCUUUCUCUGCCUGCUUGGGAAGGUAGGCCCUGACUGACUCCAGCUACAAAAGCUGAGGCUGCUGAAGAGGCCAGAGACCAUCUUGGCUUUCUCUUAGCACAGACACAGGUCAUUGAGCCUGAGCUCCCACAGCCACUGCCCACCGUGAACCACUAUUGGCAGCAACAGCAGCAGAUACAUUCUGCUUAUUAUAAUAUUUUAUUUUCUUGCUAAUUAUGAUGUUUUAAAUAUGCACUUUAUAUUAAACUUCCUUUUCUUUUGAAAUGUUUAAGAUGCUUUUAUUUCUGUUAGCUUUGCUGAAUGUGCAUUCUGUGGUUGACCUGUAGUUAUUUUGAAUUUUUUUAUAUAAUAUUUUAGUUUCCUGUUAAUUAAGCUGCUUUGAAUGUAUACUUUAUAGCUGGCUUUCUUAGGUAAUGUUUUAUUUUGGGUUGUUUUAUUUGAUGUUUUAAUGUAGGUUGUAAACAGCUUUGAGAUUCCCCCCCCCCUUAAAGAUAUAAAGCUGUAUGGGAAUUAUUAUUAUUAUUAUUAAAAAUAACAGAGUAAAACUUGUCCUUCCUAUUAUUUGGUUGGAUGAGCAUUUUAGGAAUUUUGUCCUGCACAUGGUUUGUUAAUCAUUUGGCUUUUAAGUGGAUUUUAAAUACAAAUCUUAAUCCUCAACAUCUGAACUCUAUUUCUGAUGCAUUGUGACCUGAAUCCCUACCCGGUAUCCAGCUUUGAAAAGAAACUGGGGGGGGGGGGAGGGAUGGGGGACAGCAGCAGCAUUCACACCAGGGGGUUGGUUCACAGUCCUUCCACACUCUUCCAACUUGGUCAAAACUGCAGCAAAGCCCCACGCUGAGACCUCUCUGUAGAGCAACCUGCCUUCUCUUCUGCUCAGAAAUGUUCGGCAAGCAUGCAGGGGGAAGCAUGUGCCUUAUUGUCGACAUGCUACGACAGUGCCUUUAUAGGAUCAAAUAUUUGAACAGCUCCAUUAAUCUUGCACUUAGCUCCCCAGCUCCACAAAAUUGCACUGCUAUUCUGAGUGGCAGCUGAAGGCACAACUGCCUCGAGGCAGCCCUCCUCAUGCCAGCACCAUUAUUUUCUCUCCCCGUUGUGGAGUCUGUGGCGCUCUAAUCCCUCAAAUGCUCUUGCGCAGAACAUACCACUCCAUAAAAACAAUCUGGAGUACAAUUUUCCUUUGUGCGUUGCUCAUCAAUAAAACCUAGCCACCCACCAAAGCGCUCGUGUUCCAUUAUUAUCCGCUUUCAUUUACCUUUUCAUAAGCAAAGGCAGCAGUGUGCCUGAAAUCUGAUUAUCCAUUUCCUCAUGUAAUAAACUGCUAGGAUAAGAGAGCCGAAGAAUGAUCAGGUAACAAAGAAACUUCUGUUACCAUCUCUUCUCCUUGACAUCGGGCUUCUCUCUUUGAAGUGGCUUUUAGAAAUUAAUUGCAUGUAUGUAGUUCAGCCAAAGGAACAGUUUAUAGAACGGCAAAGAAACAGAUUGAUCAAAAGCGUAGCCAAAUCCCAACACACACAUCCAGACAAAUCGUCUUAGGAUGCCCAACGUGCUUUGGGGUCACCAGUGUUCCUUCUAUAACAAGGGAAGCUAUAACAAAACAGCUCUGAUUGACAGUUUCUCUGGUACAGAUUUAGGAUGAGCUGAACUGUGUUGGAGAAACAUCUCAGCUAGCUUUUCAGGCCAGACUCUCUGGAUACAUCAACAAUAUGGGUCAUUUUACCACCCCCUCCACACAUUGCUAACAUAUUAUACUCUGUUCCUUUCAUUAAAUUGUUCCCUGCUUAAUCUUAUCUUGUGGUGUCCACCUCUUUAGUUCGUUCCCCUCACUAGCACAAAAUCUAUUUAUAUUCUGAAGGCAGCAGUCGGUCGCUUGUGUCCUGAGAACCACAUGGAGCCCUCGGCCUUAUUUCAUGUAGGCAGCAAGAGGGAGGAGCAGCAGGUAAAGAGAGAGAAUAGGAAGUGCUCUGGCCCCACCCACUACUUCCUCCAGCCCCCACUGACCAGGAGCAUGUGGCCCUCAGAAGAUUACCUCUGAGGAAAUAUGGCCCCUGGUGGAAAUAUGCCCCACCCCUUUGUAAAGGGAUUUUCUCUCUCUCUCUCUCUCUCUCUCUGUGUGUGUGUGUGUGUGUAUCUGCAACAUACAGAAUGCCGCUGCUAAAGCCUUGUACAUCUAGCACUCAGAGGAUGCUUCAUGAGUGAGGUGGACUUCUCCAUGGAAGUGCAAACCAUUACUGAGACCAGUGCAAGUUCCUCAUUGACCCCUUCCAACUGCUACUUGAUAAAACUGGGCUAAGAGCAAUUAAAUGAUUCCUCAAUGUCAGAUUCCAUCUCCUGCAUGUGGUGCAUAGCUCAGAACCCUAAUAUUGUGAAUUUAAUGAAGGUAGGGAUAUAUAUAUGUGUGUGUGUGUGUGUGUGUGUGUGUGUGUGUGUGUGUGUGUGUGUGUGUGUGUAUACACCUAUAUAUAUUGCACUGAAAAGCAAAACACAUCCACAAGAGGGAAAUGGGCAGAAAUUCCAAAAUCUAACCUCAUUAGCAAUCAAGGAUUCCUUUUAUAUCUUCACGACUUCAGUGUGAUUAUUCAUUUAAUGAUUACAUUAGCAGAUCCUAAGAUACAGUUUCACAAUUAUGGAGCCCCAAUAAACAGGAGGUAAUGCGGUAUAGUAAUCAUAUAUGAUUUCUAAAGUUUCAGAAAGUUGGGGAAUAUUAUUAUCUGCUGCUGUAUUUUUAAACUGCACUUGCAGUUUACUUUUUGGUCCUAAUGUUUUAAAUGGUUGCUUUAAUGACCAUUUAUACUCAUGUAUCUGCAUUUCAUUGAUUUGUUUGUAAACUAAACUCUGGGAUUUGUUUGAAUGGCAGGGCACUUUAGAAGUGCAAUUUUUUUAAAACAUCAAAAAUAUAUAAUUAAGUAAAAGUUUCUGGUGACUUGUCUUUUGGGGGCAGCUCUCAAAAUGCCUGUUGAGUGAGCAUGUUCCAGGCUAUGAAGGGGAAACGGAGACGGUUUUUGAUGCUAAAACUUGCUUUUGUAUUGCUUAGUGGUGACAGCUUGAAUAGUGAUCAUCUGACAGUGCGGGACAGCGAAGCUAUUUUAUUGGUUUGUUUAAGACUAAUAGACUGCUUAAUCACAAUGCUCUCUUGAGUGGCAUACAGUACAUAAUAAAAUUAGCAACAAAACAGCUGAAAUCUGCAAAACUGCUAAUGAAAAGAAGUGUACUGUAUAUAGAGCUGGUACGCAUAUAUUGAUAAGAUGCCAUCAAAGGCUCAGAAAGGAAGGCUCAAGUAAGGAAGGACUCCAGGAGGAGGGACUUUCACAUGAAAGAUGGGACAUGCUUGUUUGCUCCUGCUCUGGAGGGAGGGACCCAAAACAAUGGAUUCAAGUUAAAGGAAUGGAGAUUCAGACAAAACAUCAGGAACAACUUUCUGAUGCUAAGAGCUGCUCGACAGUGGAACGGGCUACCUCAGAAAGUGGCAGACUUGCCUUCCUUGGAGGUGUAUAAGCAGAGCUUGGAUGGCCACCUGCCAUGGAUGCUUAAGUUGAGAUUCCUGCAUUGCAGGGGACUGGACUAGACGACCCUCAGGGUCCCUUCCAACUCUACAGUUCUAUCAUUCUAUGACAGGUAGGGAAUCAACAGCAAGAAGACUCUUCCCUGGCAUCUCCCAUUGGCAUGAACACAAGCCGGGCCUCCACGACAGAUCUCAAAGCCUGGACCAGCAGAUAAUAGAGAGAGCUGCUAUUUCAAGUAUUUGGACUGCUUUUUUUUAGCGCCUUGGGGGAUCUUGUGAAUGCUUACUGUGGCAAUGUUUGAAAACCUCUUCUGAAAACUAAUUACACAGGAGAGUGAUAAGAG
rnacentral:lncRNA from 1 species